GAACAGGCAGUAGCUGAACGGCAGGUGUCAGAGGAGGACGCUGCUGGUUCCAGUGAAUGACGCUGAGCCCACUAAGAUCAACACCUUGCUGGAUGCCUCGGCAACACUGGAGGAAGGACAUGCAAAGGAAACAAUUCAGGACCACAUGGUGGACUCCGAGAAGCUCUUUUAUGAAGAAGAUGACGUAGGCUUUGCUACGUCGUCCCUGUGAAAGAAUGUCUUCAGGAAACCAGAGCUUUUCUCGUUUACCUUUUCUUCUAGAAGGGGAGGCAGCCUGGAAGAGACAGUCCAGUACUUGACCCAUGCCUCAACUAACUCUGCUAUCCAAUAUGGUGCAGCUUACCAAAGGUCCUAGAACUUUGUCAACACACUUGAAGUAAUUUUUAUGAAAUACUGCGUGUGAUAACGAAACUGGGGAAAUUUGUGUAAGACUCUUGGCGGCAUAGAGUUAUACGAUUGUGUAUUAAGGGUCCUUUUCGUCCAAGUGCUCAUGCCUGUAAUCCCACCACUUUGGGAGGCUGAGGCUGGUGGAUCACUUGAGUUUAGGAGUUUGAGACCAGCCUGGUCAACACAGUGAAACUCCGUCUCAAUUUAAAAAGAAAAAAAGUAGUUUUAGGAUGUCAUUCUUUCCAGUUCUUCAUCAUGCGACAAGUCCUUUUUUUAAUUUCUUAUAUUGCAAGCUCCAUCUCUACUGCUAUGUGCAUUUAAUGACAUCUAACUAUAGAUGCCGCACAGCCACAGUGGUUUAUCUUACAGUUUUUUCACUUUAGAAUGGGAUUAUCUAUCUAGUUAUUAGCUGUAUUUUCAGUUUAGGAUAUUUUUGAGUUAAUGAUGAGAUUAUCAAGACAUAGCCCUAUGCUAAGUCAUGAGCGUAUGGACUUAUGAGGGUUCGACUUAGAGUUUUGAGCGUUAAGAUGGGAUUAUUGGGGCUUACCCCCACCUUAAUUAGAGAAACAUUUGUAUUGCUUAUUACUGUAUGAUGUACAUCUUUCUAUUUUCCGAUUUUUGUGUAAUGAUGUAAGCAUGGAUGAACUUUAGAAAAUGCACUUUUUAGGUUAUUUACAUAGGUUGCCUGGAUACAAAUCAGCAGUGAAAAAUCACUGGAAAUAUAACUAGUGACGGAGGGAGAAAUCCUCCCCCCGUGGGAGGCACUUACUGUGUUCCAGUUCUCCCUCCUACGCCCUGAGACUGGACGAGGGUUUGAUGACUGGCAACUUCUCAGGGGGCCAGCCUGUCUUACUUGAUUUUAGAGGUAUAUAGCCGUAUUUAUUUAUAAAUAAAUAUUUAUUUAUAUUUAUUUAUAAAUCGAUGUUUACAUGUGCCCAGGAUUUUGAAGAGCAUGGUAUCUUUGGGAAGCCAUGUGUCUGGUUUGUCCUGCUGGGACCGUCAAGGAACUGCAUCUUCCUACGUGUCCACCGCAGAUGAGGACAGUGAGAAUUAAGUUAGAUCUGAGACUGUGAAGAGCUUCUCUUUCAAGCACCAUUACCGUUGAACAUUAGUGAAUCUUGGGCCUCGUUUGGACUCAGGGCAGAGCAGGUGUUUAUCUGCCCCGGGAUCUGCCAUGGCAUCAGGAGGGAGGAGUGGAUGGUGCUUGGGAAUGGUGUGAAAUGUUUGCUGACUCAGGAGUGGAUGGGCCCCUCUCCCUGGUGGUCUGUGACCCUGAGUCCCUGGGCUGCAUUUCAGGGUACAGAUUCCCUAUUUGAGUAGCUUGGCUUCUCUGUAAGCAUCUGACUCAUCUCAGAAAUAUCAAUCCUUAAACACUACGACAACGAAACCUAAAAUGGGUGACACAUUUGUCCUUGUGUCACGUUCCAUUAUUUUAUUUAAGAACCUCAGUAAUCAUUGUAGCCUCUUUCCAGCAAACCCUUCUCCACAGCAGUCCAGUCGUGGUAGGAUAAAUUACAGAUGUAGUCAUUCUAGCAGUUUCAGUCUUUUCCAUCUCAGGGCAUUGUGUGUUUUGUUCCGGGACUGGUUUGGUGGGGACAAAGUUAGAAUUGCCUGAAGAUCGCACAUUCAGAGUGUUGUGUCCGUGGAGUUUUAGGAGGGGGUGGCCUUUCUGGUCUAUGCACUUCCAUCCUCUCCCACUUCCAUCUGGCGUCCCACACGUUGUCCCCUGCACUUCUGGAAGGCACAGGGUGCUGCUGCCUCCUGGUCUUUGCCUUUGCUGGGCCUUCGGUGCAGGACACUCGGCCUCAAAGCUCAGAGGGAGCCAGUCCGGACCCAGCUCCCUUGUCCCUUCCUCAGAGGCCUUCCUUGAAGAUGCAUCUGGCCUAUCAGCCUUAUCAGUGUUUAAGCUUAUUCCUUUAAAGUAAGCUUCCUGAGAACAUGAAAUUGUUGGGGUUUUUUGGUGUUGGUUGGUUUGUUUAGGUUUUGCUUUAUACCCAGGCCAAAUAACAUAUAACACCUGGUUAUGUAUGAAAUGCUUAUAUGUUUAUGAUCAAAAUAAAUGUGAAACCUCAUA